UACUCCAGGAAGCUGUAUCAACUGAAAUGAAAGGCCUGACCUUCUUCACCAAGAUGGGCUUCAGAUUCUUCUCUUCAGCUCUUGCUGUUACCUCAAACCAGAGACGUUCAACUGAUGGCUUUGUCCUCCACUCUGCGUUACGAGUCCUGUUGUUGUUCUCUGAAGUCUUUUCUAGCUCUAGCUGAAAGCGGAUCAUCAGUGAUGCUUUAAGAGUUGCUCUGAUAAAUCCCCAUAGGCCAUCAUUCUUGAUUCUUUCACCAAGAUAGUUGCUGAAAACACGUUCUAGCAUAGAUAUUCUCAAGUCUAAAGACUGAAUAGGGCGAGCCUUUG
rnacentral:lncRNA from 1 species